CCUCUCCCUUCUAUAUGCUUAUUCCUAUAGAAUUAACACCUUUCCCCACAACCCUUGACAUUCCAAAUUCCUCUCCUUUAGUAGUUGUGUGAGGUCUUACAGGAGCAAAGAUUUUAAUGCCUAAUUCUAAAAGUUUAUACAACUUUAACAAAGCCAGGUCAAGAAAAAAAGGGUCGUAAACAGGGAUCUAAAGAGGACUUUUUUACAUUGUGACAAUAAUUACAUUUAUAUCCCUAAACAGAAGAUGGGGAAAUGCUGAAUGUUCCAAACUAAAAGUGAUUAGAAAGACACAGUUCAGUGAAGACUAUCAAAGCAUCGUUGUAUCUAGUAUUAGUGAUUAAACAAGAAUAGUGCACCAAGUAGCAGUAAAUAUGCAGAGGCAGCUCUUUAUUGGGAAUAAGGAGAUAAAACUAAAGCUCAAACACGCAUCCUUUCUGUGCUGCAGGAAUGGCAAAAGGACCUAUACCAGCAAACAUGUCGCAAAUGAUUUCUCCAGCUUGGAACAUUGAAACUAACCUUUUGUGUUCAUGUUCCAAUCUGGAAUUCCAAUAAACCAAACUGUAAUCAAGCCUAAAAGUGGCACCAUAUUGCUUCACUUCUGUAAUCAUAUCAUGCUCUCCUGCUAAAACUUCAAAUUCUGGAACACGAAAUUCAUUCGUAAUGCUUCCAACUUUAUUAACAACAGUUUUGAUUCUUGGGUAGUUUUUCUGCAUAAGGGAAAAUGUCAAAAUUACAAACACGUAUAAUAGAGUAUACUCAACGUAAAAUGAUAGAAUUUGUGAAUUAUUUUCAUUCAAUGGACAUUUUUGUGGUAAAUGUCAUAAAUACCCACAAACUAACAUAACCCCAUUUAUUUUCUUUCAAAAACGAAUUUAUUAGAUACAAAUACCAGAACAACAAUACUAAAAUAUGGCGGCAGCAUCAAAUAGAUCUCAUGGGAACUCAGAAUUAAGAGUAGAAAAUAGGGCGACCAAACUGCUUACGGGAAAAGGUAGCCCUCUGAAAAGAAAGAAAGAAGACUGAGGAGAUUCUGUGAAUGCCCAAAAUAUCCCAAUCCACCAAAAACUUAUCCACCUUACUCAAUUCUUGACUAAUUCCCCCAGAUCCUUUCCUCUCCCUUCUAUAUGCUUAUUCCUAUAGAAUUAACACCUUUCCCCACAACCCUUGACAUUCCAAAUUCCUCUCCUUUAGUAGUUGUGUGAGGUCUUACAGGAGCAAAGAUUUUAAUGCCUAAUUCUAAAAGUUUAUACAACUUUAACAAAGCCAGGUCAAGAAAAAAAGGGUCGUAAACAGGGAUCUAAAGAGGACUUUUUUACAUUGUGAC
rnacentral:lncRNA from 1 species